rnacentral:rRNA from 1 species
UACGAAGGGGGCUAGCGUUGUUCGGAAUUACUGGGCGUAAAGCGUAUGCAGGCGGAUCGUUAAGUCAGGGGUGAAAUCCUGGAGCUCAACUCCAGAACUGCCUUUGAUACUGGGGAUCUCGAGUCCGGAAGAGGUGAGUGGAACUGCGAGUGUAGAGGUGAAAUUCGUAGAUAUUCGCAAGAACACCAGUGGCGAAGGCGGCUCACUGGUCCGGUACUGACGCUGAGGUGCGAAAGCGUGGGGAGCAAACAGG